CAAUUUGUGGAGAUGGCUUAGUGGAUAAGAGCAUUUACUAUUCAGGCAUGAGGACAUGAGUUUAAAUGCCCAGAACUCACAUAAAAAACUCAGCAUGGUUGGUAUGUACUUAUAAUUCCAGCACCAUGGGAAACAGAGACAAGAAGAUGGUUGCAGGCCCAUGCACCACCAGCCUAAGUAGAUUCCAUUAAAGACCCAUCUCAAGAGAACAAGGCGGGGAGUGACAGAGCUGGACGUGGCCUCCACAUGCUUGUACAGAACCAGCAAAGGAUGUAAAAGACUGCGAGCUUUUCCCAGGCUAUCCUGCUGGAGGUUGUACACGGCUAGGAGAGCAACUUUCUAGUAAGAAACGUCUCCUCACUGUUGAUUCCACGAGGGAUCCUUUGGACAAAUCACGGAUUGGUGCAAACUUCAAUUUCUGUCCUUCAGGUCAAGUGGAACUCAGAGGGAGAAGUUGACUGUGAGAAACUUGAACUGACUGGAGAGCAAUCAAUGAACAGUGCCUUCAAAGAGGGAAGGAAACAUACAUUCCCAUACAUCUUUUUCCUACAUGACAUUUUAUGCUGUGGCUUUCUGUUGGCUGAAUGGAACCAGAGCUGGAGGAAGGCAAGUGCACUGUACAUCAACUUUUGAAUGGACAAAUCAGGACAAAAAAAGAGGGGUCAUGUGUUUUAAAAAGGUGUAAGAAUGCAUUCUUUAUCUCAUUUCUGCUCAGUGAGCCCUAGAUAUUACACUGUAAGGUAAGAUUUAUAGUUGCAACCGUAGAACGAACUAUGGCUGUUUAAGUGUGAAGGAUUGUUGAUGUUCUUAUGGGACCAGUUGUGUAACAUUUUUCACUGAGAUAGAACAUUCCAUCUAGGAGAAAAUAGCUAAGCCUCCAGAUGUUCUAGAGGGAGACACCUUAAAACUCAGGAAGUGAAGAACUCAGAAGCUUCAGGUGGUUCCUGAAACUGACCAGACAUAUUAGGCUUCUCUACUGAGAAAUACUCUCAAACAAACUGAGCUGCCUAGAGAGGCAAAGGCCAGCCAAGCUGCCUAGAAGAAGCAAACCAGCUGAAACUGUUCAAAGAUAGACAAACCAAGUUGUCUGGAAGACAAACACCAGCAGAACUUGCUGGAAAAAGAAGAGAGCCAUUGAGUUACUUGUAAAAGAUUUGGACAAACUGGGCUCCUAGGAAGGGAUGCUCCCUGACCUGUUGAACUUCUUGAAGUUGAUAAGCUUCAUGGUUCCAGCUUUUGUGAUUGGUCGUCCUUGCUGGCAUGGGUUUUGGUGAUGCAGCAGUUUUUGAUUCCUAUCUAUUCUUAUUUUUUUUCCUUUGUUUAUUUUCUGAUCACUUUACAUCCUGGUUGUAGCACCAUUCCUCCUCCCCUCCCAGCCGUCCCCUCUUCCCCUCUUCCCCUCUCACUUAUUCCUUAGAAAGGGGGAGCUCUGUAGGCUUAGGUUUUUUUCACUAAACCUACUUUAUUUCGGAUUCUUAAGCACUUCCAUCCCCCUUCCCCAACCUUAUGUAGGAGAUUAGUAGCGGAAAGGGCUGUAGACUUCUUUUAUCCACUUCCUGCUGAUUAGGGUCCAUGGGUCUUUAGAGGAUUACUAAACUCAGUCAUCAGGAUACCAGUAGUCCAGUCCAAAGGCCAAUACCAAGUGGCAGCACGAAUCAGCACAAGUCAGUGAAAGCUGCAAGACUCAGCUGGAUUCGUUUCUCUCUGAGAAGCCAAGUGUUGAAACAUGAAGAUCAAUGCAUCAAGGUUAAAAGAAAAAGUGAAGCCUCAUUGUGGUGCAUGGGCCUCAAUAUAUCUCCUUUCCUCAGAGUCCACCCAUGGAUGUUCUCAGCUGGCCACAGUCAUGCCCCUUGCACGAGAGAGUUCACAGCAAAACAUCAUGUUCCCAGCUUGCAGCAAAACAUCACAUGGCAAAACUGAGUCUUCAAAGAAACCAGAAACUUCCACUUCAGAACUCCCUUUCCUCUUCAACCCAUCAAGUUGCAUCAGGACUGAACAUGUCCUCUUCCCUCGUGGCCUGGCAAGGCAGUCCCACCAGGGAGAAGUGAUCAAAAGCUAUCAAGUGAGUCCGUGUUAGAUUCAGUCCACGCAUCCCUUACUAAAUGAUCCACAUGAAGCCUAAGCUGCCCAUCUGCUACAUCUUUGUAGGGGGCUUAGGUCCAAUUCAUGCAUGGUCCUUUAUUGAUGCUUCAGUUUCUGCAAGCCCCUCUAGACUUUGGUUAGUUGGCCUUGUUGAGCUUCUUGUGGAGGUCCUGUCACCUCCAGGUUUUUUCUCUUUCCUCCCACCUUUCCACAAGAGUUCCGACUCAUCACCCAAUGUUUGGCUGUCUGAGCAUCUGUUUUGAGGUGCUCCUGGGUAGAGUCUCUCAGAGGACGACUCUAUCAGGCUUUUGCCUGCAAGCUUAUUAGAGUAUCGUUCAUAGUGUCAGGGGUUUGUACUCACCCAUAGGGUGAUUCUUUAGUUGGACCAAGCAUUGGUUGGAUAGUCUCUCAAUCUGCUCUAUCUGCUCUAUCUUUAUGCCUGCACAUCCUGUAAACAGAGUUAUCUGGGUUUAUCUGAAGUUAUUGUGGGUGAGUUGGUGUUCCCCUCCCUCUGCCAGGAGACUACUCUAGUCUUGUAACUCCCAACUCAUGUUCUUGUAAGUAAUGUCAAUGAAACUCUGAUUAACCAUGUUAUCCUUACUUGAGCCUAUUGUUGGUUUCUUAUGUGAGGUGAGUAGACAUUGUUCACAUCUCCCCAGGAACACUGUCACACAAUACUAAGGUAUCCACAGGCGUGAAGAGAGGAUAUAGAGGUGCAGGGUUCCUCUGUUAUUACAAUGCAAAUAUGAUGCUCCCUCAACUCCACGCAACUACAGAGAUUACUUUCCCACUUCUUUCUCUACGAAUCUCUCUCCGUGUUUUACUGCCUGUUGAUUCAAAACCAUGGCCUGUCCUGUGCCUGUGUCGGGCAGAAUCAAGGACUCCAUUGAGCAUUGCUGUAAAGGGAAGAGGCAGUGAGAACCUGGUUUCAUGAGCUCUCCAUGCAGGAGCAGUGCCUCCUAGAAGAAUUUUAGGUGAGAAACUCUCCACAUUUUAGAAAUGUAUCCCAAUGGUAGGUGGA